AUGAGCUAUUCUGGAAGGAUGUCCUCAUUUUCUGACUGUGUGGAGCAUGGCUCCAGGAGAUUGUUUCCUUCAGUCACAAGCUUAGGAAGCACUUACACAGGAUGUGGGCUGCUUGCUGGCAAAGGACAAAGAACAGCAGUGAAGUUGUCCUGGAUCAGCUGGGCUGGGGAGAAAAGCAAUCUGGGACUGGAUGGUGAGAAGAGAAAUGGAAACGGAAGCCUUUUCACCAUUCCCCUCUCCCUGCUGCAGCAACUCGGGAACCUGGGCCCGAGACGCUGUCCGUGGUGCUGACGAAGGAGGUGUGCUGGUGAGCUGUGAGCUCCCAGUAUUUUUUAUUCCUAACUGCUGAGCAUUAUCACCAGGGAGAAGGCGGUGCACGUGUUCUGGAGUAUGGUGUGGCCGCACUCCAUCUCCUCUCUCUCAGGAGUUGGAGGGUGCUGUGGAUGUCCCUGCAGGAAGUGACACAGCAGCCUGGUCACCCGAAUCCAGGUGUCCCUGUGUAGUUUUUAGUGAAGAAAGAGGACAAAAUGGCCUUAAGGGGUGUGAUGGACAGAGCAAAUCCCUUUCCAAGUCAUCUCAUCCUCCUCCACAAGCUGUGAACAUGUGUCAUUAAAAGGACCUUUAUAGAGCUCAUUAAAAUCAUGGGCUUGAGAUUCUAGGUUUUUAUGCAGUCUAGAGGAGCCACACUUCUGGCUUCAAAGAUGGUAGAGGGGGCCACAGCUCAGGGAGGUAGAGGCUGCCAGAGACUGACUAGGAUGAGGAAAUGGACCGUCCUCUAGAGAGAGAAUGUAUCCACAUCAACACCUCGAUUUGUGUAGUUUUAUGCCACUGUGUUUGUGGUAAUUUGUCACAGUAUGAACAGGAAAGAAAUGCAAGAGAAGCCCCCUUGUCUAACCUGAGCUAUGUUAGUUUGAGAUAAGGACUCAAUGGAGCUAAACCACAAUGGGAAACUCUGUGGUAGUUUCCCUACUUCUCAUAUCAGGACACAGAAC
rnacentral:lncRNA from 1 species